AUAACAACGAUAAGGGCGACCGUAAGGUCGCCCAUUUUGUCUCUUCGCUUAGCACCUUUGGUUUGGCCGCCGACAAGCUAAGUGGAAGAACAGACUGGCGUUACGCAUAGCUGGCUGUUAGUUUUAUUCCUUACUAGAUAGUUCACUAACAGUUUUUGUAACCAUGACCCGAGUUUUACUCGGGUUUUUUUAU
rnacentral:sRNA from 1 species